rnacentral:rRNA from 1 species
UCCGUUUGAUCCUGACGGAGCCGACUGCUAUCGGAUUGGGACUAAGUCAUGCAAGUUAAAGCGACUUGUUCGCUUGGCAAACUGCUUCUUAACACGUAGACAACCUACCCUAAGGUACGGCAUAUUCCCGGGAAACUGGGCGUAAUUCCGUAUAGGUAAAUGGUCUUGGAAUAGCCACUUACUAAAAGUUUUAUACGCCCUAGGAUGGGUCUGCGGCUGAUUAUGCUUGAUGGUGGUGUAAUGGACCACCAUGGCGAAGAUCAGUAGGGGCCAUGAGAGUGGUAGCCCCGAGAUGGCCACUGAGACAACGGGCCAGGCUCUAUGGAGUGCAGCAGGCGCGAAAACUGGACAAUUCACGAAAGUGAGAUCCGGCCAAUCCGAGUGAUCCCCCAUCGGGGAUCUUUUCUCAAGUAUGAAUACCUUGAGGAAUAAUGAGAGGGCAAGACUGGUGCCAGCCGCCGCGGUAAAACCAGCUCUUAGAGUGGUCGGCAUGAUUAUUUGGCUUAAAGGGAACGUAGCAGGGUAACGUAAGUCCUCAGUGAAAUCCUAGGUCUCAAGCUUAGGGCGUGCUGAGGAUACUGUGUACCUUGGGACCGGGAUAGGUGAACUGUACGUCUAGGGUAGGGGUGAAAUCCAAUAAUCCUAGACGGACGACCGGUGGCGAAGGCGGUUCACUAGAACGGGUCCGACUGUGAGGUUCGAAAGCCAGGGGCGCGAGCCGGAUUAGAUACCCGGGUAGUCCCGUGCCGUAAACGAUGCCCGCUAAGUGUUAGGGGAACUUAGGGUUCUUCUAGUGCCGAAGCGAAAGCGUUAAGCGGGCCGCCUGGGGAGUACGUUCGCAAGAAUGAAACUUAAAGGAAUUGGCGGGGGCCCACCACAAGGGGUGGAUCCUGCGGUUUAAUUGGACUCAACUCCGGGAAACUCACCUGGGCCGUGGCAUGUAUGAGAGCCCUGCUAAAGACACUGCUCGACGUGCCACCGGAGGUGCAUGGCCAUCGACAGUUCGUGCCGUGAGGUGUCCUGUUAAGUCAGGCAACGAACGAGAUCCCUACCCUUAAUUGCCAGCGAGAGCUUCACAGCUCGUCGGGGACAAUAAGGGGACUGCUCGCGAAAAAGUGAGAGGAAGGAAGGGCCAACGGUAGGUCAGUAUGCCCCUAUAUGCCCAGGGCUACACGCGGGAUACAAUGGCAAGUACAGAGGGUUCCUACACCGAAAGGUGGCGGCAAUCUCCAAAACUUGUCUCAGUCGGAAUUGAGGGCUGCAACUCGCCCUCAUGAACUUGGAAUCCCUAGUAAGCGCGUGUCAUCAACGCGCGCUGAAUACGUCCCCGGGCCUUGCACACACCGCCCAUCGCAGCACGCGAGACGGGUUUGCCAGAGGUGGCGGAAUUAUACUGUUAUCGAUGGUAAACUCGUUGAGCAGGCUGAAGUUGUAACAAGGUA